rnacentral:rRNA from 1 species
AGUGAACGCUGGCGGUAGGCCUAACACAUGCAAGUCGAACGGCAGCACAGUAAGAGCUUGCUCUUACGGUUGGCGAGUGGCGGACGGGUGAGGAAUACAUCGGAAUCUACUUUUUCGUGGGGGAUAACGUAGGGAAACUUACGCUAAUACCGCAUACGACCUACGGGUGAAAGCAGGGGAUCUUCGGACCUUGCGCGAUUGAAUGAGCCGCUGUCGGAUUAGCUAGUUGGCGGGGUAAAGGCCCACCAAGGCGACGAUCCGUAGCUGGUCUGAGAGGAUGAUCAGCCACACUGGAACUGAGACACGGUCCAGACUCCUACGGGAGGCAGCAGUGGGGAAUAUUGGACAAUGGGCGCAAGCCUGAUCCAGCCAUACCGCGUGGGUGAAGAAGGCCUUCGGGUUGUAAAGCCCUUUUGUUGGGAAAGAAAAGCAGCAGGUUAAUACCCCGCUGUUCUGACGGUACCCAAAGAAUAAGCACCGGCUAACUUCGUG